ACCAAUGAGAGCCUAUGGCUACCCUAAAUAAGGCUCCCAAUCAGAGACAACCGAAAUCAGCUGUCUCUAAUUGGGAACUCAUUCAGGUAACCAUAGACUCUUCUAGAUCACUCACCAACAUAGACAACGCUAGACAUCUACACUCAACACAAAACCAUAUAUUACACCCCAUAACCCCUUUACCAAAUAAACACCCAAAACCAACAAAACAUAAACAUUACCCAUGUCACACCCUGACCUAACUAAAAUAAUAAAGAAAACAAAGAAUAAUAAGGCCAGGGCGUGACAAUUUGAUGAAUGCUACUAGCCAGUGUCCAUUGGAGUCCAUUUGAGUAAACAAAAACUUCCCUUUGAAAUUGUGUGCUAAAAUUGCAACCCCAGCUGAAUGAUUAGUCCCGUGGGCCAAGAAAAUGUCAGUGCCCCACUGACUUUUCCCAAAUUUAUAGUUCUCUUUUCAUGAAUGUGUUUCUUGAACGAAUACAAGAUCUAUGUUGCAGUCCUUACAAAAUAAAACAAAAAGCUUUCCUCUUCAACAGAUUUCGUAUCCCCCUGGCAUUGAUUGACAUAAACUUCAAGUCCAUAUAUACAAUAUAGAAAGGAAAAUCCUAUGCAAUAUCAACUCUACCCUGUCAAUAAAAAGUUGCUUCAUAAAUUUGGGGUGGCUGGUAGCCUAGUGGUUAGAGCAUUGGGCCAGUACCCAGAAGGUUGUUCUGCCCCUGACGGCGGUCAUUGUAAAUAAGAAUUCGAUCUUACCUUAAUUGCCUAGUUAAAUAAAUAAAAAUAUUUGCCUGUCAAAAGACAUCUGAUGAUGUACUUCUUGGCAAUACAAUCUCACAUUACUCUGAUAGGUUUAGGAAUACCCAUCACAAAGAGUAUAUGUGAACACACUGAUUUCGGGGGUUUCACAUUAAGGCCUUUCCCACAGAUUUGAACUUUCUUAGCAGGGCACUUGCUUUACAUUUGGGCUCAUAUUGCGUAAAUAUCAUAAGGUACAGUAUUGGGAUUUUUAGACAUGGGUAACAAUUGCCACAUUACUAUUUUCAAAUUAUUUAUUAGGUAUUUUGACAAAAAAAGUAUUGAUAAUUAAUGAAAACGGAUUUGUUUACUGCAUUUGUGGGGGGAUUCUCGCAUAGCUUCCGUUAUUUAUCACGUCACCUAACAUCCUAGUAGUAGCUAUGUGGCUAACGCUAAUGUUAGCUAGCUGUAGGAGUUAAGGUUAGGGUUAAGAUUAGGAGUUAGGUUAAAGGGUUAAGGUUAGGUGAAGGGUUAGCUAAAAGGGUUGAGGUUUGGCCUAGUGGAAAAGUUAGCUAAAAGGGUUAAGGUUAGCUUUAGGGGAAGGGUUAGCUAACAAUCUAAGUAGUUGCAAAGUUGCUAAUGAGUUAAAAUGCUUAAGUUGUCCCUGAUGAGAUUCAAACAUGCAACCUUUGGGCUGUUAAACAUUUCCAUUAUACGUCCAUGCUAUUUCGAGUGUCCCGGAUUUACAUUUACUAUGUUACGUCUAGUUAUUGAGACCAGUCUGUGUUCCUGCUCCUGGAGACUGAAUAUUAGGAGGUAAGAAUCCAUUUAGACCCAUGUCUACUACACAGUCCAUCUUAACACUACAACUAGUGACUCAGACUGUCUGAUCGAUAUGGUGGACUUAACAUGGUGUGUGUGUUUUAAUGGCAGCUACACCAGGAGUGAAGGCCCUGAAGCAGGUGUGGUUAAGUCCCAGACCGCACAGGUCUAAAAGCAUGACCUCAUCCAGCCUGCCAUACAAAUAGGGCUUAAUGGCUCACAUCAACAUUCAUGCUGCUUGUUAUGAACAUGCUGCUCAGUCUAUAUGAUGUACAUGAAAUACUGUGUGUUGUCACAAUAAUUAUGAGUGCAGCAAGUUGAACGUUUGGUGUUGGUGUUUUCCCACCAACAAAUGCACCAAAUAGUUAGGCAGAUUGACGUAGCAGCACAGGCUGCCAGUUCCGGCGUUGAUACCUCUUCACUUAAAACAGCAGUCACCUUGGCAGCCCCCACUGGAGUUGCCUCUUUCACUUCACUGAUAGCACCUCUGGUAAGAUGGGAAUCCAUAUUGGAUUUCCAUUCCCUAUUAUGUUUGAACGUCAUUUACAAUACAUUGAAUACCCAGAGAUUCAAUACACAUUUUUUGUUGUUGUUUUAAACUAGUUGUUCCUGACACCUCCGCUUACCAAUACAAUGAGUCAUCUGGGUACUACUUCAAUCCACAGACAGUUCUGUACUAUGACCCUAACAUAUUUCUGCUUUAUCAGAAAAUGGAUAAUGAAUAAUAUAUCAUAUAUUAUGUAUAUCUUUCUCCCUGUAGUACUACUACAACUCCCAGACCCAACAUGACCUAUUCUGGAACAGUGAGACACAGACUUACAUCCCUGCAGCAGCAGAAACCACACAACAGCUGCAGACUCCAUCUGAGAACAGGCCUCUUCAGAAACCUCAUCAAGCAAAUAAUUAAAGGAGAAAAACGACAAGCCCAAGAGAAAGUCUGCCCAGCAGCAUGGUGGAGGGUUUGAGACCCACCUUGUUAAGAACGAGCUGGUGAAGAAGGGAGAGCCAGAGACCCCAGCCAAGAGUAGCCUGGUGGCAGUUUACAGUGGGGACAGUGACCCAGAGGAGGCAGCAGACCCAGAUCAGGGAGUUGGAGGUGAUGAGCGGUCAGACAGACUGGAGGAAGUUGGCCUGUCUGCUCUGUCUCAGGCAGUUCCCUAGCGAAGACGCACUGCUGCGGCACCAAAGCUUCAGACCUGCAGGAUGCAAAACUUGGAAAUUCACAGACGAUCCAAACUAUUGGAAGCCGAGCUGGAGGAGUUGGAGAGAAAAGAUAUAGAGAGACAGAGCAGCUGAAAGAAGGGAUAGGUAUGGUGUUCCUGAACCACCAGCGCCCAAGAAGAAGAAAUUCUAUCAGCCUCCUGUCCCCCCCUAUCUCAAAAGCAGGGGGUCUCAUAUUCCCUUAACAUAUGUUAUUGUCCAACUAUAGCCUUGAUCAAUUCAAGUAAACAGAACUAACAAAUGAAUUACAUUUGAUUAAUAAAAUGUGAUUAAUUCCCAUCUCUUCUCAACCACCUGACACACAGGAACUACGAGCAGCCCACCAAAGACGGUCUGACUAAUGACAAUAUUGGGAACAAGAUGCUGCAGGCAAUGGGCUGGCAAGAGGGCAAGGGCCAGGGCCGCAACCAGCCGUGCAUUACUGCACCCAUCACUGUCAGACAAAACUAGAAACUAAAGAGGCGUUUCACCUGCAAAGAUGGCUUGUAGUUCCAUGUCCCUGGGCUGUUUCCUGGCAGAUGGGGUUGGUGUGUGAAGGCAUCAUUACGGACCAAGGGCACACGCCUGGGCAUCAGGGGAAGCAACUACGAACUCUACGUAUCGUACACUUACAAGGACACCGUGCUCAAGGCCAUCUUUGCACACUUCAUAGAGCUUGCAUGAACAGGGACUACAGCCGUCCCCUCCUUCCUCAGCCCUACACCCUUGUUACCUGCCCAUUAUCCCCACCACUGUGAAAAUGAUAAGAACAAGAGGAGCAUGUACAUUUGUUAUUUAAGUGUUUUGUUUGGUUUAUUUAUUUGUUCUUCCUUUCUGUGGUCAACAGCUAUAAAUAAUUAAGAUAUCAGGCAUUCUAUUAACCACAGGCAAAGCUAGUUCUUGUCCAUUUAAUGUGUUUUUUCCCCUUCCAUAUAUACUGAACAAAAAUAUAAAUGCAACACAUAUUGUUGGUCCCAUAUUUCAUGAGCUGAAAUAAAUGAUCCCAGAAAUGUUCCACAUGCAUUUCUCUGAAAUGUGGUGCACAAAUUCGUUUACAUCCCUGUUAGUGAGCAUUUCUCCUUUGCCAAGAUAACCUGACAAGUGUGGCAUAUCAAGAAGCUGAUUAAACAGCACCAUCAUUACACAGGUGCACCAUUGUGAGGCCCAUUUUUUAAAGGUAUCUGUAACCAACAGAUGCAUAUCUGUAUUUCCAGUCAUGUGAAAUCCAUAGAUUAGGAAUAUGAACUGAAACUCAGUAAAAUCUUUGGAAUUGUUGCGUGCUGCUCUUAUAUUUUUGUUCAGUAUAAAAUGCUGUUUUUAGCAUUCUGUGCAGUUUGUAUAGUUAAUACGUUUGUACAAAAUACAGAUGUGGCUGUGCUGAGCUUCUCUCUAGUUGUUUAUCUGAAAGGGAUCAGAAUUAAACCUGACGUGUACUCGCGUGCUUCCAUCUAAAACUGCACUUUUUGUUUUCUGGUCUUUAAAUGUUAGAGCACGUUGUUCAUUACAAGGAUAGGGAUGAAUCCUAUGCCUUUCACAGAAUCAAAUCAGACGCAUGAAGAGAUGCUGCAAGUUACAGUAUGCCGAUGAGCACUAUAGUCAAUCCUUUGCAUUAUGUCCCGAGAGCUUUAAAUUGUUCCUUCAGUGUAGCGACUAAAUAGGCACUAUGAUUUAAUAUGGCAGUUUGAGUUCUUAGGAGGUGUACUGUGAUGUGAGCUGCCCCUCCACAGAACCUGUCUGACUCACUGGACAUUACUGAGCUGUUCCUCCUGGGACAGUGUGCUGGAUCCCUGACCACAACGUUACUCCUCACUACUACUGAUCUCUCACCUCACCUGGCUUUUGAGUGUACCCACCAGAACAGGUGUGAUUCCUCUAUUGGGGGUUGACAAAUUGUGCUUAAUGGAAAUGUUUUGACUAAUGGAAAACUCUUGUUCUCUAUUAGUGGUUGAUAUUACUGUAACCUGUUUCUUCUGGUGUUGGACUACUAGACAUAGAGGUUCCCUUGAAUGUAUACAGGUGUGGAAUGCACAUGAUUAAGUCUAUGGAGAGCAGUGGAACAGCAACAUUGGUGCUUAAGCAUACAAUCAAGCCCUAUUUCCAGCAGGCUCCUGAUGCCGGAGACAAUGAUGUUUUAUACAUAUAUGUGAUAUCACCUGGCUUCCUCUUGAUAGACUAGGAGUAUUAUAUCCAAAAUCAAUUCAUCAAAGUCAAAAGCAUGUGUGUGUCUGUGUUUUGCACCAGGUUAAUAUUGGAUUUAACAGUCACAGUGUAACACAGAUCAGUGUAAUAACUCAUUAGAUGAUGCAGGAAUAGCCAAGGUGGCAGGAAUGUCUCAACUUGGGCCAAGUCAUGAGCACUGAAUACUGACAGCUAACAUAGUUAAGACUAGACCUGGUUUGUGAUUGGCGCCGGAGAAGAAGGCAGACCUUUUACGUGUCCCCAACCGAUUGUGUUUUCUUGUUUGUUUAUUUGUGUUGUUUUUAACUUAUUUUGUUACUUAUUUUGUACAUAAUAUUGCCGCUACCGUCUCUUAUGACCGAAAAUAACUUCUGGACAUCAGGACUGCGAUUACUCACCACGGACUGGUAGAAUUAUUUUUUUCCUUUCACAACUCUGACGAGCCGACGCAAACGAUAUACUGCUUUCUCGGGAACAGGCCCAGAUCCCCAUGAUUUGCGUGACAGGGAGGUGGAGAAAAAGGGGCCAGACGGCGGGCUGCCUUCUGAGAAUUCAUAGGCGAUCGAAUAAACUCCCACUUCCUUCCAUUCUGCUAGCAAACGUACAGUCUUUGGAGAAUAAAAUUGAUGACCUAUGCGGAAGAUUAAACUACCAAUGGGACAUUCAAAACUGUAAUAUCUUAUGCUUCACGGAGUCAUGGCUGAACGAUGACACUAUCAACAAACAGCUGGCUGGUUAUACGCUGUACCGGCAGCAUAGAACAGCAGCAUUUGGUAAGACAAGGGGCGGCGGGCUAUGUAUUUUUGUAAAUGACAGCUCGAUAUCCAAGGAAGUCUCAAGCUAUUACUCGCCUGAGGUAGAGUAUCUCAUGAUAAUGUCACGACUCCCCUGCCUGUUCGGCGGUGCUCGGCGGUCGUUGUCACCGGCCUACUAGCCGCCACCGAUCCCUUUUUACGUUUUCUGUUUGUUUUGUCUUAUUAGUUCACCUGUGUCUAUUUGUGUUUGCCUGAUGGGCUUCCUUAUUUAAAGCUAGUUUACUCGCCCUUGUUUUGUGCGCGAUUAUUCUUGUGUUACGUGUUUGUGUUGUUGGGUGUGUUCGUGCUCCGGACCAGGUACCCUGUGUUUUGGGUUGGUCCAUAUUUUUCGCGCCCUGUGUUUUGGGCAUUGCUUUUGGUGCCAUAUUAAAGUGCACUUCUCCCUAUGGAA